UUGUGUCAGGAAAUCGUGAAAACUGAGGCAGUGUGUCAUUGUUUAAAAUAAAAGCAGCCAGGUACACUGCAGUAACACCGGCGAAAGAAAGAAAAGAGAGGAUUCUCCCAUUAGCUUUCAUUGCGUUGCGGUGGGAUACACUGCUUCGCUUACCGGAAAUAGGAAGUGAGAUAAAGGUCCAUUCGCAGCAAGCAGGAUUAUACGCGUUUUAUUCUUCUGCUGCCUGUUCACACGCGAGGGCAUGUCAGGGGAGGCUCUGAUACAGAGAAAACCAGACCGAUUUAAUCAGAAACUGCGGAGAAUCACGUUCAGACGUCAAUUGGAGACCGAUUGACAUAAACAGUUCAGUGAUAUGGGAGAUUCUUGCUGGUGAAGAUGGACAGCUUUGUAAUAGAGAAGUUGAAGGAAAGGCAGCUUGAUACCUUGGUUAAAACCUUUGAAGAUUUCACAAGACUUCAGGAAACUACAUCCAGAGGUAGACUUUUUGUAGACUGGGCUACAAUUGCAGAUCAAAUUGUUGCCUAUGCCCACCAAGAUGGAAAGGUGCAUUAAGAGCUGGGUGACAUGACUUCAGAUGUUAAAGGGGAGAGUGCUUUCAAAGUCCUGCCCAUUCUGGAGGAAUGAUCCACAGAACCACAACCACAGAAUUCUGGAAGCCAUUCAUUGACAUACAAACCUGUGGGGACCAGCAUGGUGGAUUUGUGCCUUGGGGACGAGACAGCGACAUCCCAGACCUUCGCCGUGCCACUGAAGCAGACUCGUUGCCUGGGAAUUCCAGCUUGCAGUAUGUUAUAUUGAUGGACAUAAGUCUUCAUGUGUGAAUUUUUUAAGGCCAACAGUUUUUUCUGGCCACUUGUAACAUGUUUUAAAUUGUCAUAUGUAUUGUCUGGUGGACACUUUGUUUGGCUUAGUUGUAAUAGCACAAUGUUUGGAAUGAUUUUCAUGUGGUAAUAAUUAAUUUUUGAGUGUUCUGCUGCUGCAGUGUUGACAAAGAAUCAGAAUCUACAGUGCCUAGUUUACACAGUUUUGUGUUUUAAAUUAACUGAUCCACUAAAGUUAUUGUUUUAUGUGUCUGUAAUGGUUGGAUAAAAUGUGUGACAGCUGCACCCAUUUGAAAAUUGUUUUAAAAAGAAAUAAAA